rnacentral:rRNA from 1 species
ACGGGUAGCCGGCCUGAGAGGGCGACCGGCCACACUGGGACUGAGACACGGCCCAGACUCCUACGGGAGGCAGCAGUGGGGAAUAUUGCACAAUGGGCGGAAGCCUGAUGCAGCGACGCCGCGUGAGGGAUGACGGCCUUCGGGUUGUAAACCUCUUUCAGCAGGGACGAAGCGAGAGUGACGGUACCUGCAGAAGAAGCACCGGCCAACUACGUGCCAGCAGCCGCGGUAAGACGUAGGGUGCGAGCGUUGUCCGGAUUUAUUGGGCGUAAAGAGCUCGUAGGCGGCUUGUCGCGUCGACCGUGAAAACUUGGGGCUCAACCCCAAGCCUGCGGUCGAUACGGGCAGGCUAGAGUUCGGUAGGGGAGACUGGAAUUCCUGGUGUAGCGGUGAAAUGCGCAGAUAUCAGGAGGAACACCGGUGGCGAAGGCGGGUCUCUGGGCCGAUACUGACGCUGAGGAGCGAAAGCGUGGGGAGCGAACAGGAUUAGAUACCCUGGUAGUCCACGCUGUAAACGUUGGGCGCUAGGUGUGGGGGACCUCUCCGGUUUCCUGUGCCGCAGCUAACGCAUUAAGCAGCUCCUGGGGGGGG